rnacentral:lncRNA from 12 species
CUGAAGUAUGGGACAGGUGGCUUCAGGAAGUAAAAUACUCCAUUCCUCUGCACGUGUUUGGUGAUCUGUUGAAAUAGCAGCUGUCUCGCUCUCAUCUCAGUCACAAUGAGAAGGCAAUUAUUACAGCCUUAGUUAUCACUAUAGCAGGCACACAUCUGGUGCACGCAGGGAAAUGCACAUCUGGAUUAUAUGACAGCAGUGAGCCUCCAGCCUGCCUCUCAAGUACAGAAAACCCCUCCAGAGGUCUGGAAUUCUCUUCUGAUAGCCCUCCUGGUGACUCCAGG